rfam:Desulfotomaculum sp. 46_80 MPI_scaffold_6252, whole genome shotgun sequence.
GGUUGGGUCUUGCGCGGCGGAGACUUUUGAACCGUGUCAGGUCUUGACGGAAGCAGCACUAAGAAAGAACCUCCGGGUGCCGCAAGGUUGCCUGGCAAGA